rnacentral:rRNA from 1 species
GACGAACGCUGGCGGCGUGCCUAAUACAUGCAAGUAGAACGCUGAAGGAGGAGCUUGCUUCUCUGGAUGAGUUGCGAACGGGUGAGUAACGCGUAGGUAACCUGCCUGGUAGCGGGGGAUAACUAUUGGAAACGAUAGCUAAUACCGCAUAAUAGCAGUUGUUGCAUGACAACUGUUUGAAAGGUGCAAUUGCACCACUACCAGAUGGACCUGCGUUGUAUUAGCUAGUUGGUGGGGUAACGGCUCACCAAGGCGACGAUACAUAGCCGACCUGAGAGGGUGAUCGGCCACACUGGGACUGAGACACGGCCCAGACUCCUACGGGAGGCAGCAGUAGAGAAUCUUCGGCAAUGGACGGAAGUCUGACCGAGCAACGCCGCGUGAGUGAAGAAGGUUUUCGGAUCGUAAAGCUCUGUUGUAAGAGAAGAACGAGUGUGAGAGUGGAAAGUUCACACUGUGACGGUAUCUUACCAGAAAGGGACGGCUAACUACGUG